CCUACGGGGGGCAGCAGUGGGGAAUAUUGCACAAUGGGGGAAACCCUGAUGCAGCGACGCCGCGUGAGUGAAGAAGUAUUUCGGUAUGUAAAGCUCUAUCAGCAGGGAAGAAAAUGACGGUACCUGACUAAGAAGCCCCGGCUAACUACGUGCCAGCAGCCGCGGUAAUACGUAGGGGGCAAGCGUUAUCCGGAUUUACUGGGUGUAAAGGGAGCGUAGACGGUGAUGCAAGUCAGAAGUGAAAGCCCGCGGCUCAACUGCGGGACUGCUUUUGAAACUGUAUGACUAGAGUGCAGGAGAGGUAAGCGGAAUUCCUAGUGUAGCGGUGAAAUGCGUAGAUAUUAGGAGGAACACCAGUGGCGAAGGCGGCUUACUGGACUGUAACUGACGUUGAGGCUCGAAAGCGUGGGGAGCAAACAGGAUUAGAUACCCGUGUAG
rnacentral:rRNA from 1 species